UUGGGUUACCUGUGUAACUAGCAGUGACAGGCACAAAUCGGUACAAGCAAAACAACCCAUAUAAAGUAACGCAGUACUGUCACUCUGCCUCUCUGAGUCCAGAACACUGGAAUAGGUGGAGCAGUUAGUAGAAUUAACUAAAAAAAGGCCCAUGAGAUAAUGAUGCAGAAGUUAUUUGUACUUGCCUUGCUUCUUGGUCAGGUUUAUAUAUCAACAWCUG